ACUCAGGAAGUAAUGCCAACAGUUAUUUAUUCAAUUUGAUAGCCUGAUUGACCAUUUGAUCAAGUUAUGCUAUACUCAGCAUGACACAAUGUAUUUCCCUACAAAAGUGGUUCAUCUCAAGUUAGAAAAAGCAACACAACACAUCAAAUCAUAUGAUUUUAAAAAAACACAUUCUGUUUUGUUCAAGUAAAUUUAUAAUGGUAAAAUAACCUGUUACAAACAGUAAAGGGUUAAGCUUGAAACGAAGAGGGACCACAAGCUGGGAUGAGGACAAAAAUCUCCAAACGUCUUUCGUACGGACGUGUUCCAUUACUCUGAAGAAGCAUAGUAGAGAGAAAGAAAAGAUUACCAGUCGUAUAUAAGGGGGAUCCGAGAGAAAAAAAAACCUAAUAAUUUUUUACGGCGAGAAAGUGAAACGGCGAACCCUCACCAAGCCCAACUCGCGAACCAUCCAGAAGAAGAAGAAAGGAGAAUAAAGCACGAAGAAAACAAAAGGGUCAGACGGGGUGUUACCUUCUCAAAUCACCAUUUUGAUCUAGUGGUAACAGUUAUGCAGGGUUGUUGCAGUUUGAGAUCGGUAUCGACGCAGGCGUGCAUAUUGGAGCGUUUGGAUGCUAUAUUUUUUUGUGCGCAUGUGCUGCACAUGUGCUUUAUAUUUAUGCGUGUGAAUGACUAAUAAAUUCGUGAUGUGAUUAUAGUAUGCAGUGCAUGUUCAAUGAUCAUAAUGCAUGUAUUGUAUACUCUCUAAAUGUUUGUAAGUUAAUAAUAUUAUGAUGUAAUUGAUGUGUCCUAGUAUAUGCAUUAAUUAUUUGUAGUAAUGUUGUAUUAAUGUACUGAAGAAGAAAUUGCGUGUUA